CGGAUUCGAGUGGCGAACGGGUGAGUAACACGUAGGUUACGUACCUCUAGGUGGGGAACAACCAAGGGAAACUUUGGCUAAUACCCCAUGUGCACUUCGGUGUGAAAGACUUCGGUCGCCUGGAGAUCGGCCUGCGGCCCAUUAUUUAAUCCUUGUUGGUGAGGUAAAAGCUCACCAAGGGUACGAUGGGUAGCUGGUCUGAGAGGAUGAUCAGCCACACUGGGACUGAGACACGGCCCAG
rnacentral:rRNA from 1 species